rnacentral:rRNA from 1 species
UACCAGCUCUCCGAGUAGUAGGGAUGAUUAUUGGGCUUAAAGCGUCCGUAGCUGGCUUAGCAAGUCUCCUGUUAAAUUCAGCGACCUAAUCGUUGAGCCGCGGGAGAUACUACUAGGCUAGGAGGCGGGAGAGGUCGACGGUACUUUCGGGGUAGGGGUGAAAUCCUAUAAUCCCGGGAGGACCACCAGUGGCGAAGGCUGUCGACUAGAACGCGCUCGACGGUGAGGGACGAAAGCUGGGGGAGCGAACCGGAUUAGAUACCCGGGUAGUCCCAGCUGUAAACUAUGCGGGCUAGGUGUUGGGGUGGCUACGGGCCACUUCAGUGCCGCAGGGAAGCCAUUAAGCCCGCCGCCUUGGGAGUACGGCCGCAAGGCUGAAACUUAAGGAAUUGGCGGGGGAGCACCACAAGGCGUGAAGCUUGCGGUUC